UUAAAAACAACAUUUUAAAAUAACUAUUGUUAUUAUUAUUAAAAGGUAAAUUGCGUGAAUGAAAGAAUACAGACCAAAGUAAAAAACAAACAUAAUAACUGAUACAAUCACAGCUGUAAUACCUUGUCCUCCCUGAUCAAUAAUGGUAUCAGUUUCACUCUGUUGGUAUUGAUGGCUGGUAUAGGUCUCACUCUGAUGGUAUUGAUGGAUGGUAUAGGUCUCACUCUGAUGGUAUUGAUGGAUGGUAUAGGUCUCACACUCUGCUGGUAUUGAUGGAUGGUAUAGGUCUCACUCUGAUGGUAUUGAUGGCUGGUAUAGGUCUCACACUCUGAUGGUAUUGAUGGCUGGUAUAGGUCUCACACUCUGCUGGUAUUGAUGGCUGGUAUAGGUCUCACUCUGCUGGUAUUGAUGGAUGGUAUAGGUCUCACUCUGCUGGUAUUGAUGGCUGGUAUAGGUCUCACUCUGCUGGUAUUGAUGGAUGGUAUAGGUCUCACUCUGAUGGUAUUGAUGGCUGGUAUAGGUCUCACACUCUGCUGGUAUUGAUGGCUGGUAUAGGUCUCACUCUCUGAUGGUAUUGAUGGAUGGUAUAGGUCUCACUCUCUGAUGGUAUUGAUGGCUGGUAUAGGUCUCACACUGCUGGUAUUGAUGGAUGGUAUAGGUCUCACUCUGCUGGUAUUGAUGGAUGGUAUAGGUCUCACUCUCUGAUGGUAUUGAUGGAUGGUAUAGGUCUCACUCUCUGAUGGUAUUGAUGGCUGGUAUAGGUCUCACACUGCUGGUAUUGAUGGAUGGUAUAGGUCUCACUCUGAUGGUAUUGAUGGAUGGUAUAGGUCUCACUCUGCUGCUAUUGAUGGAUGGUAUAGGUCUCACUCUCUGCUGGUAUUGAUGGAUGGUAUAGGUCUCACACUCUGCUGGUAUUGAUGGAUGGUAUAGGUCUCACACUCUGCUGGUAUUGAUGGAUGGUAUAGGUCUCACUCUCUGCUGGUAUUGAUGGAUGGUAUAGGUCUCACACUCUGCUGGUAUUGAUGGAUGGUAUAGGUCUCACACUCUGCUGGUAUUGAUGGAUGGUAUAGGUCUCACUCUCUGCUGGUAUUGAUGGAUGGUAUAGGUCUCACACUCUGAUGGUAUUGAUGGAUGGUAUAGGUCUCACUCUGAUGGUAUUGAUGGCUGGUAUAGGUCUCACUCUGAUGGUAUUGAUGGCUGGUAUAGGUCUCACUCUGAUGGUAUUGAUGGCUGGUAUAGGUCUCACUCUGAUGGUAUUGAUGGAUGGUAUAGGUCAUUUACAUUUACAUUUACAUUUAAGUCAUUUAGCAGACGGUCUCACACUCUGAUGGUAUUGAUGGCUGGUAUAGGUCUCACUCUGCUGGUAUUGAUGGAUGGUAUAGGUCUCACUCUGCUGGUAUUGAUGGCUGGUAUAGGUCUCACUCUGCUGGUAUUGAUGGCUGGUAUAGGUCUCACUCUGCUGGUAUUGAUGGAUGGUAUAGGUCUCACUCUGCUGGUAUUGAUGGCUGGUAUAGGUCUCACUCUGCUGGUAUUGAUGGAUGGUAUAGGUCUCACUCUGCUGGUAUUGAUGGAUGGUAUAGGUCUCACUCUGCUGGUAUUGAU